CAACCAUCAGAUUCUUUACAGUUGAACUGCCAUAAUACUCAAGUGAUAUUUCUUAUGCAUUUGCCGAUUAGCUGGAAGGAGCCUCUUCUGUGCCUGGCUCCUUUUCAGAAAGGCCGGCGAAGACCGUGUUUUCCUUGGCCUCUGCUGUGUGAGCACUUGGGUCACCAUGGUGGGCUGGAUAUGCUGCCCCCUCAGUGUGUCCACACCCUAAUCUCUGAAACCUCCAAAUGCUUCCUCAUGUGGCAAAGGAGACUACAGACACGACCCAGUCAAGGGUUUUGACAUGGGAAGAUUGUCCCAGAGUACGCCGCUGGGCCCAAUGAAACCACAAGGGCCUCAUAAGAAGGACGUCGAAGGAGUCAGAAAGAGGAGCAGGGCAUGUGCUCAUGGAAGCAGGAGACGGAGGGGAGGGGCCAGGAGCCCAGGGAUGCAGGCAGCCUCGAGAAGCUGAGAAGGGCAAGGGAACGGAGCCUCCUGUGCCUCAGGAGGAACGAGCUUCUUGAUUUUAGCCACAUAGCACCCCUUUCCAAUUUCUGACCCCAGAACUAGCAGGAGAUGAAUCUGUGUUGUUCAAAGCCGCUAGGCGCGUGGUAGUCUGUCACAGCAGCAGUAAGAAGCGCCGCCGUGGGAAAUUCCCAGACUCACUUCGGGAUCUCCAGAGGCACCAGAGAGGCAGUAAAUUCGUUCCCAACCAGGUUUAACAGCCAGUUAGCGCCAAGCGUGGAAGCAGAAUCUGGGCUUCCUGGCGCCUCCGCGCUGGGCUCUCUCACACGUCUUCUGGCGGACACGCGCGUCUCUGGAGCAACGGCAACAGCGAAUUUGAAGCCAAGUGAGUAGACACUGAAAGUGUGCGACUUGAUUCCAAGGGAGCACAGCUUUAAACACCAGGCACAGUGACCAAGUAACCUCCGUGGUUCUGUUCCGGAGGACAGCUCACGACACAGGAGGAAAGCUUUGUGUGCUUGCGGUCCUAGAGCUGGCUGCUUGUGAAACGGAGAAAUGCAGGUCUGGUUCAACUGCUUUAGCAAUGCUAUUCACACAUACUAAUGAUUCUUAAUAAAAGUCACGUUCACAGGGCAAGGGAGGCACGAAUAAUGCGAUCGUGAGGUUAUUGUAACUUUGUGAAAAAGAAAAAGAAAAAGAAAAGACUGCUGGAGCUCAGAACAGAACUGGGCUCCAGGUCCACCUCUGCCAUUAGCUCUGUGACCUGGGUAAGUGGGUUCGCCCCUCCGGCCUCAGACCUCACCCUUGAAGAGCCCUGCAAGCCUGUCACAGCGCUUUUGGGCUGGGCCACCCCCUCGGUGCUCUCUAGGGAGCCAGCGCUUUCCUGACAGCAGCACCAGGCCGGGAGCCAGAGAGAGGAGCCCUGAUGCGCACCCAGUGCCUCGGGGAGGGCCUGUGCCGUGCUCCGCACUUCGCCUCUGUCACAUCGGUCGGUGCUCGCAGCUCCCCAGGGUCACACUAGGACACACAUUUCACAACAGAGGAGACAGAGACCCAGAGAGUUCAAGUAACACACGCAAGUCCAAGCAGCACGUGCUGGUUGGAGCCAGUCCUGUCUGACACGAAACGCUGCAGUCCACAGCACUGAGCCGUCUCCCUUCUCCUCCCCAAAGGUUGGAUGAUGUAACUAGCACGCACCUUUCAGGGGUCAGACACCUCCAUACCCAGUGUCCACUCAGUCCUGUCAGCAGCCCAAGGCAGAUGAGGAAGCAGACUCAGGUGUUUUCAAGGAAACUGCUCAAGGUCGCAGAGCUAGGAAACAGCAAAGAUGGUGGAACCUGAGUGUCUCUGAGUCUCUCUGACACCCUGCUCUUACCACGAUGCCCCAGGACCCUACUCUGCCAGCACCAAGGGGACCUUAACCUCUCUAAACGUCACUUCCUCUCCCGUAAGAUCUCAGUUAUAACACCUGAGCCUGAAGCCACCUCGAGGAUUAGAUAAGUCUGAGAAAGUGUUCUGCAAGCUGUCAGGAACAUACAAAAGGCUGGAGUGUUUCAGCAUCCCUUGAGCAACGACUACUUGUGCCAUCUAAUUUAGCUCUCUUCUUGAACAGUUAGACAGGACUAUUAUAACAGGUCUGGAACUAAAUACCUCUGUGAAAUAUAAUUCUGUAAUGCUUGGCACAGGCUGCAGGCUCAUGGGUUUGCUAUUGUUAGUAACAGAAGCGUCUUCAGUCAGAAGCUGUUCAAAAGGCAACCCUAGCAAACUCUCAGAUCACCAGUAAGAGCACUGAGAGCAGCCGCCAGUCCAUUAGCUGGUACUGAAACCGCGAUUUCAUGUCACGGCCUUUCAGUGCUAGGGAAGAAGCGAUUUGCCAGGAAUGAAGUUCAAUCAAGUCCUGAACCCGCUGUGGGAUGGAAAAACGAAAACGAGUAACGGUGUGCUAUAAUUGGAGUGAUUUUAAUUUCAAAAAUCUUAUUCAUAACUAGCCGAAAGAACAGAUUCUUAGAAUCAUUUUUAAUGAUAGAUUUAUCAUUGUUUUGGUGAAUUUCUUUGACUAGCAUUGUGUUCAUUUUAAUUAUGAAUUAAUAACCUGUGUAUGUAAAAUAAACUACAGAUCCACCACGAAAAGUUGCUGGAGAGUCACAGAUGGUGCAUUUUUUAAAUAUGUUACCAAAAAUCAAAUUAGAAAUUUUGAGAUAUGUAGUCCUUCCAAAUUACUCAUGGUAUAGGAAUCAGGAAAAAUUUAAAUUUAUAUACAUUCCCAAAGAUGCUUCUCCUAUCAAAAUUUUAUUAUUGUGUAGAUUCUGGAGUUAGAAGACACGUGUUUGAGUCCCAGCUCUGACACAUACUGGCUCAUGCUUAAACCCUGAGCAUGUCAUAUGGGCAUACUAAUGAUACCCCAAGGGUUUGUAUUUAUCAAAUUCUGUAAUGACUAUGAAAAUGGUUUGUGAAUUAUAAGUGUUAAUUAGCAUUGAAUGUUAAUAAAUAACAAAAUAUA